rnacentral:rRNA from 1 species
AGAGUUUGAUCCUGGCUCAGGAUGAACGCUAGCUACAGGCUUAACACAUGCAAGUCGAGGGGCAGCAUGGUCUUAGCUUGCUAAGGCCGAUGGCGACCGGCGCACGGGUGAGUAACACGUAUCCAACCUGCCGUCUACUCUUGGACAGCCUUCUGAAAGGAAGAUUAAUACAAGAUGGCAUCAUGAGUCCGCAUGUUCACAUGAUUAAAGGUAUUCCGGUAGACGAUGGGGAUGCGUUCCAUUAGAUAGUAGGCGGGGUAACGGCCCACCUAGUCUUCGAUGGAUAGGGGUUCUGAGAGGAAGGUCCCCCACAUUGGAACUGAGACACGGUCCAAACUCCUACGGGAGGCAGCAGUGAGGAAUAUUGGUCAAUGGGCGAGAGCCUGAACCAGCCAAGUAGCGUGAAGGAUGACUGCCCUAUGGGUUGUAAACUUCUUUUAUAAAGGAAUAAAGUCGGGUAUGCAUACCCGUUUGCAUGUACUUUAUGAAUAAGGAUCGGCUAACUCCGUGCCAGCAGCCGCGGUAAUACGGAGGAUCCGAGCGUUAUCCGGAUUUAUUGGGUUUAAAGGGAGCGUAGAUGGAUGUUUAAGUCAGUUGUGAAAGUUUGCGGCUCAACCGUAAAAUUGCAGUUGAUACUGGAUAUCUUGAGUGCAGUUGAGGCAGGCGGAAUUCGUGGUGUAGCGGUGAAAUGCUUAGAUAUCACGAAGAACUCCGAUUGCGAAGGCAGCCUGCUAAGCUGCAACUGACAUUGAGGCUCGAAAGUGUGGGUAUCAAACAGGAUUAGAUACCCUGGUAGUCCACACGGUAAACGAUGAAUACUCGCUGUUUGCGAUAUACGGCAAGCGGCCAAGCGAAAGCGUUAAGUAUUCCACCUGGGGAGUACGCCGGCAACGGUGAAACUCAAAGGAAUUGACGGGGGCCCGCACAAGCGGAGGAACAUGUGGUUUAAUUCGAUGAUACGCGAGGAACCUUACCCGGGCUUAAAUUGCAGAUGAAUUACGGUGAAAGCCGUAAGCCGCAAGGCAUCUGUGAAGGUGCUGCAUGGUUGUCGUCAGCUCGUGCCGUGAGGUGUCGGCUUAAGUGCCAUAACGAGCGCAACCCUUGUUGUCAGUUACUAACAGGUCAUGCUGAGGACUCUGACAAGACUGCCAUCGUAAGAUGUGAGGAAGGUGGGGAUGACGUCAAAUCAGCACGGCCCUUACGUCCGGGGCUACACACGUGUUACAAUGGGGGGUACAGAGGGCCGCUACCACGCGAGUGGAUGCCAAUCCCCAAAACCUCUCUCAGUUCGGACUGGAGUCUGCAACCCGACUCCACGAAGCUGGAUUCGCUAGUAAUCGCGCAUCAGCCACGGCGCGGUGAAUACGUUCCCGGGCCUUGUACACACCGCCCGUCAAGCCAUGGGAGCCGGGGGUACCUGAAGUGCGUAACCGCGAGGAGCGCCCUAGGGUAAAACUGGUGACUGGGGCUAAGUCGUAACAAGGUAGCCGUACCGGAAGGUGCGGCUG